rnacentral:misc_RNA from 1 species
UCGUAACAACCGAGGCGCGAGGGCUGUCGCUGAUCUGAACCCUCAGGUCGUGCACGCUCGAGCGUCCUCGCACAUCCAUCUCACCCCAAUGUGCACCACCGCGUGGGUCUCCCUUUGGCUUGUUCGAAGGGGGGCUUACGUUUUCACACAAACUUGAAGCAAUGUAGAAUGUCUCUUUUUUUGCGAUAACACGCAAUCAAUA